rnacentral:rRNA from 1 species
GACAGAGGGUGCAAACGUUGUUCGGAAUUACUGGGCGUAAAGCGCGUGUAGGCGGCCCGGAAAGUCGGAUGUGAAAGCCCUGGGCUUAACCUAGGAAGUGCAUUCGAAACUCUCGGGCUUGAGUUCUGGAGAGGAAGGCGGAAUUCUCGGUGUAGAGGUGAAAUUCGUAGAUAUCGAGAGGAACACCGGUGGCGAAGGCGGCCUUCUGGACAGUGACUGACGCUGAGACGCGAAAGCGUGGGGAGCAAACAGG